rnacentral:rRNA from 1 species
GACGAACGCUGGCGGCGUGCUUAACACAUGCAAGUCGAACGGAAAGGCCCUGCUUGCAGGGUACUCGAGUGGCGAACGGGUGAGUAACACGUGGGUGACCUGCCCUGCACUUCGGGAUAAGCCUGGGAAACUGGGUCUAAUACCGGAUAGGAGCCAUUUUUAGUGUGAUGGUUGGAAAGUUUUUUCGGUGUAGGAUGAGCUCGGGGCCUAUCAGAUUGGUGGUGGGGUAAUGGCCUACCAAGGCGGCGACGGGUAGCCGGCCUGAGAGGGUGGACGGCCACAUUGGGACUGAGAUACGGCCCAGACUCCUACGGGAGGCAGCAGUGGGGAAUAUUGCACAAUGGGCGCAAGCCUGAUGCAGCGACGCCGCGUGGGGGAUGACGGCCUUCGGGUUGUAAACUCCUUUCGCUAGGGACGAAGCUUUUUGUGACGGUACCUAGAUAAGAAGCACCGGCUAACUACGUGCCAGCCGCCGCCGUAA